GCACUGGCACCACUGCACUCCAGCCUGGGCAACAGAGCGAGACUUUUUCUCAGGAAAAAAAAGAAAUAAACAUGAUCAUUUUCCAAGAGAAGAGCAGCUUGAAAGCUAAGUUUCAUUGGAUAGUCACUGUCAGAAAUGCUUUCACAUGCUAUAUUCUAGUUUUUUGAUAGAGUCCUCAAGUCUACAUAUUAAACAAAUAAAUACAGUGGCUUCUUAAUUAAGAGACAAGAGGAGCCUACUGAGUCAUCAGCAACACUCUGAUGGUCACUGAAGAGGUCAGUACCCUAUAGAAUCUCAGUAAUUGCUCUGAAAAAAAAGAACUGACAAUUCAUGGAAAGACCACUUGAUUUUAUACAUCUACAAUAGGGUUUCAAACUCAAUGCCUAUAGGGGCCAGGCAGGUCCUGCCAAUGAGUGGUCAAGUCUGGACAUAACAACCAGAAGACUUAGUAAAAAAGAACAAGUACUUUCUCGGCUGAAAGGAUGGAGAACUAUAAAGAAUCGUUUCCUCACCCUUUUCCCAUGUUUCUUUCUUCCACCCUUUGGCUGAGGAAGUGAGUUUCACAUUUUAAAAUAUACUGCAUAGGCUAACUCUGGGUGGGUCAACCAAACACAUGCUGCUUGCCAGUUUUUGACAUCUGAUCUUCAGGGAACAACACACAAAAAUUGUUUCCAGAAGAAAGGAAUGCGUAGUAUCAUAAUUUAAAAUAAUCUACCAUUAACCUCAUGACCCAAAGGGUUAACAUCUAUGGUCACGAUAAGACGUCCCUCUCUUGCCUUAUUUUUCAUCAUUAUAAUCUCAGUAGAAGCCUCAAGUUUGCACAGAAUUUUAUGAGUAGUAAACUGUUUUUACUUUACCUCUUAGUCUGAUUCUCACCAAAAACCUUUAGGAGUAAAUAAGCAGAACAGAGAUGACCAUAACCACAUUCAGAUAAGAUAGCCGAGACCCAGAAAGGGCAAGCUAUUUAAUCAUGCUGAUUCAGGCUUGAGGAGGAUGCAACCCCAGUUUCCCAAGCUUCUAGUACAAAUCUCAUUUUUAAAAGCAUGUUUUAUUUAAUGAAAGUGAUGCUUUCUUUAAAAUCGUAGAUAACAUUAAAACAUAGAAAGCAGAAAUAAACAAAAAGAAAAAUCUUGUGUAACCACUCCCAGAGCCACAAUUAUUAAUACGUAAUUCAGUUUUCAACUUCACAUGAAGAGUAGUUGCUGGGAAACUGUGUUUUCCAAUAUUUCAACCUCAUAAGUGUACUAAAAUAAUAUUCUGGUAAUAUAGAACAAUUAUCUUAGAGCAUGAUGUUUUAUUGUAAACAGUAUUGGUACUUGCUAGUAUAUUGGAUCUAACAUGUCCGAAGAAGAAAAAAGUUAAAAACUUAUUUUACAGUGAGAACAUCAAAUGACACAGUAGGAAUGUCAUUUCUACCAGGAUCUCUGUGAAAUUACAUUGGUGGUAAAUGCUUUUCUUUAAAUGCAGGAGAGAUUCACCAACCUGAAAAUAUUUUUUUCCACCGUCAGCAACCUCAUAAUUUCAUGCCCAAAGACUGUUCAAAUAAAAAGGGAACAAAUCUCCUAACAGAGUUCAAUGCCUAAGUCAAGACUGCCCCAAAGCAUGAGGUUUUAUGUCUCUGUUUACCCUAGAAGUAAAUGAAAUAAAUGCAUAUUUAAUACAUGAAUCACAUUUAUAUUUGGUUCACAUAUUAUAGACAAGGAGAAACAAGAGAAUUCUUUCUCAGAUAAAAUUUCUUAAUAAAAGGUACACCCACAAGUCUGGUUACUUCUCCCCAGAAUGCAGUCAUAGCAAAUACAAUAUAAAAUAAGUGAAAAGCCAAAAAAGCAAACCAGGGUUUUGGAUGAUCUGGUUCUGGGUUUCAAGUGUUACAUUUCUAAUUGUAAAUGUGAACAGAAUGCACAAAGCACCACACCUAUUUGGGGAUUCUGAAAAGUGAAUAGUAGCAGGUGGAUUGCAGAAGAAACAUUUCCCAAGUGUCUACAUGUUCUUGAAAGGGAGUUUUUCGGAGGUGGCCACUCUUCGGAAUAGACCAUCGCCAUCAGGCGUCUGAAGCAAGGGGAAGGGGAAGAGAAAAAGCCGAAACACAAGGUUCAUCUGAAAAUGGUAAACAAGGGAAAGAAAGAGGAGUUCCAGGACCUGCAUACCAAAAUAUUACAGACACACAGGAAAUGACUCUUCAAAUCCAGGCUGUAAACCUGUCAUUUCGUGGGCUUGUCUGCGAGCCUAGAAAAGCUGGGCAAAGAUCACACUGAAGACAUUCCUGUUUGGGGCUGGCUGUACUGGAGGACCUCUGGAGGCCUUUCCAUGCCAGGUACUAUGAUUCUAAACUCAAGCCAUAAAAUGAAAUGUUAGAGGAAAGCCAAUGAAAAUUGAGGCAAAAUUUGUGGCUUAAAGCUUAUUUUGCUUUAAAAAAAAUUGCAGAUUUGAAAAACUGUUCUUUACAUGCAAUAAAAAUUUUUUAAAGAAACUGAAAAGCAAAAAAUAUUUUCAGAAGGGGUAAUAUUCUCAGUCCUAUUACUAUUUUUUAAGUAUUUCAAUUACAGAUACUCCCAACAUGUAAUAAGUUACUAAGUCCUAAAAAUAUGUAUUAAGUUUCCUAAAAUGUUUGCAUAUUGACUUUAAUCCAUGUGAAAGAUGUUUCUGGUGUAUUCAACCAAUGCUGCUCCUCAGGUUAGUGAAAUGGUUUUGGAUUCAUUAAUUCUCCAAAUAUUUGUAUUCUGAGUGCCUUCUAAGGGUAAGGCAUUCUUUGAAUCAAACACACACAAAGAACCAAGCAAAUCUAUUGGUUAAUGCAGGCUUUCCUCUCCCCUCCAGCUUAAUGUGCUAGACCUGGAGCCAGACUGCCUGGGUUUCCCAGCUGCAGUGCCUUGAGCAAAUUACUUAACCUCUCUGUACCAGUUUUCUCCCCUGAAAAGUAGGGUUAUUAAUAGCAUCUAUCUCAUCAAACUAAAUGAGUCAAUACAUGUAAAGCACCUAGAAAAAUGCCUGGCACAUAGCAAGCUUUCAAUAAAUGUUGGCUAUUCAUUGAGUGCCAAGUAUGAGAGAAAGCAAUGUAGAGGUAGAUAUGAAAAUAAAUAAAGUGCAUUAAAGAGGGAAUAUUUCAAUUGGUUCUUGGUGAAAACACGGAAUUCACAAGGUAGUCAAAAAAGGGCCAGGUCAAGCAAAUGGUGUGAGUGAAGGCACGGAACUACAAAACUAAAUAGCAUAUCUGGGGAACUGUAAAUGAUUCAUUAGAGCUAGAUGAAGAGGCGUGUGACAUAUGCUGCCUCCAUCCAAAAGCAAAGAUUUAAAAAAAGAGAAAGUGAAAAAAAAGAGGCAUAUGGGAAUGAGGGAGUAGAAACCACAGGAUUUACUGACCAAACCUAUGUGAUGGGAAGUGAGGUAGGGCAGAUUUCUGGGUUUAUGGUGAUGUCAUCAGUCAAAAACAAAAUAUGGCAUGUGGUGUGACCUUUGACACAAUGUGUUUGGACAUACAGUAUGGAGGGGCCUUUAAGACCCAAGUGGAGAUGUACAAUUGGAUACAUAAAUCUAGGGUUUAUAAGAGCACUCUGGCAAGCCAUGCAGUGUAGGGGAUCAUCAAAGUAUUACUUAGUGUGAUAGCCAUGAACUUGGCUGAAAUCUUCAAGAACGAGGGUGGAGAAUGGGAAAAAUAACAACGUAGACGGCACUGACAAUCAGGGGCAGCUGGAAAAGAAGGAGCCAGAGAAAAUAGAACCAGAAUAGCAUAGAGCCCUGGAAGAAACCAAAGAAUCAGUUUUACAUCAAUUGAUGGUUUUAGUGGAAAAUGACAGAAAACCUAAUUCAAACUGGUUUACAUUUGUUAAUAAGAUAUAUUGGCCCAUAUCAGUGAAAACACAAGCUUCUGGAUGGGGGCAUGGCAUUAGAUCAAGACAAAUGAGAAUCAACCCUAAGCCAGGCGUGAGGAAUUCAGCCCACCUACAUUUAACAGUCCAUAUUGAAUGCCUACUAUGCACCAGGCAUUGUUCUAGUCAACGAACAAAACAGGCAAAAAGUCCCUCAUCUGUGGACAACACCCACAAGUACUUCUUGGUAUCUCCCCAUACUCUCUUUUCAUUGAAACACAAUGCUUCAAAAAAUUGGGAAAACUAUCUAUGUGGAGGAAGAUAAAGAGAGAAAAUGUUAGAAUUUAAUGAAAAUUCCAAAAUAUUUGCUGGGAAUUUUAACACCGUUUUGUAGGAAUAUGUGGAACUUCUGUACUAUUAUCAGAUGGAAGGGUGACACAGGGAAGCAGUUCAAUAUGGAUAAAAA